GGAAGUUUUAGCAUGGCAUAGAUUAAAUGGGUAGAAAAAAAAAACUGAAAUCAUUUGUUUAGUGAAAUGUGAAGAAUACAUUUUUGAAUCACGGGGAUUACUGACUAUUUAAAGCUUUAGCCAUGUUUAAUAUGAGCCUCCAUCAGUGUAUAUGUAGACUUAUGUACCAUAAUAAUACAGGACAUGAGAAGAAGGACAACAGAUCCUCUCUAAGGAUACAGGAAGACCUGCAGUGUUAAAAACGAAAGUCUCCUCUGCUACAAAAAAAAGCCCUUGAGAUGUGUGCUUUGGUUCUGCUGAGGGACAGUGGGAAUCCUGGCAACAAUAAGGACAGCUGUACAAACAUUUGCCUGUCUCACCAGCAAGCCCUUUGUCAAGAUCCUAAAUAAACCUGGAAACAUUAUAGAAAUCAGGCUUCCUUGAAGGGAUGUGUCACCUGGCCUGCAUGCGCAGGCUCUACAAGCUUUGUAGAGCCUGAAGGGCUUGCUGGUGCAGUACGAUGAAAAGCUAGCUCUUCUCGGCCUCUGGACUCCAAAUGUUCAAGCUUCACGCAGAUGUGUUCCCAAAGUACUUGCAUCCAAUGUUUCAAGAGCAAGAUAAGAUGCCAACCUGUCCCAGUCUUUCACACAUUUUGCAAAACAGUUUUGCAUGAUACUCCAUGAGCCUGUGACAAUAAAAAGGGGGAGAAAAGUGUACC